UACUAGAGUAGCACUCGCAUAUCAAUAAGCGGAGGAAAAGAAACUAACAAGGAUUCCCCUAGUAACGGCGAGUGAAGCGGGAAGAGCUCAAAUUUGAAAUCUUAAAGGGUUUCCCUUUACGAAUUGUAGUUUAAAGAAGUGUUUUCUGUUGAGGUUUUGGUAAAAGUUCUUUGGAAUAGGACAUCAUAGAGGGUGAGAAUCCCGUAUUUGACCUUUACUUUCAACUUUGUGAUACACUUUCAAAGAGUCGGAUUGUUUGGGAAUGCAGUCCAAAAUGGGUGGUAAAUUUCAUCUAAAGCUAAAUAUUGGCGAGAGACCGAUAGCGAACAAGUACCGUGAGGAAAGAUGAAAAGAACUUUGAAAAGAGAGUUAAACAGUACGUGAAAUUGUCAAAAGGGAAGCGUUUGACACCAGUGUUGUUUUUCUGAAAAUCAAUUAAAGAACUGUUUAUGCUAAGCUGUUUAGACUUUAUCAGCUAAUCUGUUUAGUUUUGAGCUUUUCUUUAAUGCACUUUUCAGUUAACAAGUCAACAUCAAUUUCUUUUGCUGUAAAAAAGCUUGAGGAAGGUGGCUUGAGAUUCGUCUUAAGUGUUUAUAGCCUCUUGCCUAUGCAGUCGGAGAGAUUGAGGUCUGCAGCGUAGAUCCUUCGGGGCUAAAUGCAUUUGUGCUAAGUUAUAGCAUUUAUAGACAACUUGUUGACUAUGAUUUGUCUUGUAGCUUACUCGCUUAUGUUAUUUUACCUACGCUUAGGAUGUUGAGUAGCGACAUACGCAC
rnacentral:rRNA from 1 species